GGUUAAGCGACUAAGCGUACACGGUGGAUGCCCUGGCAGUCAGAGGCGAUGAAGGACGUGCUAAUCUGCGAUAAGCGUCGGUAAGGUGAUAUGAACCGUUAUAACCGGCGAUUUCCGAAUGGGGAAACCCAGUGUGUUUCGACACACUAUCAUUAACUGAAUCCAUAGGUUAAUGAGGCGAACCGGGGGAACUGAAACAUCUAAGUACCCCGAGGAAAAGAAAUCAACCGAGAUUCCCCCAGUAGCGGCGAGCGAACGGGGAGGAGCCCAGAGCCUGAAUCAGUGUGUGUGUUAGUGGAAGCGUCUGGAAAGGCGCGCGAUACAGGGUGACAGCCCCGUACACAAAAAUGCACAUGCUGUGAGCUCGAUGAGUAGGGCGGGACACGUGGUAUCCUGUCUGAAUAUGGGGGGACCAUCCUCCAAGGCUAAAUACUCCUGACUGACCGAUAGUGAACCAGUACCGUGAGGGAAAGGCGAAAAGAACCCCGGCGAGGGGAGUGAAAAAGAACCUGAAACCGUGUACGUACAAGCAGUGGGAGCACAGAGCAAUCUGUGUGACUGCGUACCUUUUGUAUAAUGGGUCAGCGACUUAUAUUCUGUAGCAAGGUUAACCGAAUAGGGGAGCCGAAGGGAAACCGAGUCUUAACUGGGCGUUAAGUUGCAGGGUAUAGACCCGAAACCCGGUGAUCUAGCCAUGGGCAGGUUGAAGGUUGGGUAACACUAACUGGAGGACCGAACCGACUAAUGUUGAAAAAUUAGCGGAUGACUUGUGGCUGGGGGUGAAAGGCCAAUCAAACCGGGAGAUAGCUGGUUCUCCCCGAAAGCUAUUUAGGUAGCGCCUCGUGAAUUCAUCUCCGGGGGUAGAGCACUGUUUCGGCAAGGGGGUCAUCCCGACUUACCAACCCGAUGCAAACUGCGAAUACCGGAGAAUGUUAUCACGGGAGACACACGGCGGGUGCUAACGUCCGUCGUGAAGAGGGAAACAACCCAGACCGCCAGCUAAGGUCCCAAAGUCAUGGUUAAGUGGGAAACGAUGUGGGAAGGCCCAGACAGCCAGGAUGUUGGCUUAGAAGCAGCCAUCAUUUAAAGAAAGCGUAAUAGCUCACUGGUCGAGUCGGCCUGCGCG
rnacentral:rRNA from 1 species